rnacentral:rRNA from 1 species
GACCUCAAAUCAGGUAGGACUACCCGCUGAACUUAAGCAUAUCAAUAAGCGGAGGAAAAGAAACUAACAAGGAUUCCCCUAGUAACUGCGAGUGAAGCGGGAAAAGCUCAAAUUUAAAAUCUGGCAGUCUUUUGGCUGUCCGAGUUGUAAUCUAGAGAAGUGCUAUCCGCGCUGGACCGUGUACAAGUCUCCUGGAAUGGAGCAUCAUAGAGGGUGAGAAUCCCGUCUUUGACAUGGACUGCCAGGGCUUUUGUGAUGCGCUCUCAAAGAGUCGAGUUGUUUGGGAAUGCAGCUCAAAAUGGGUGGUAAAUUCCAUCUAAAGCUAAAUAUUGGCGAGAGACCGAUAGCGAACAAGUACCGUGAGGGAAAGAUGAAAAGAACUUUGGAAAGAGAGUUAAACAGUACGUGAAAUUGCUGAAAGGGAAACGCUUGAAGUCAGUCGCGUCGUCCAGGGAUCAACCUCGCUUUUGCUUGGUGCACUUUCUGGUUCGAUGGGUCAGCAUCAAUUUUGACCAUUGGAAAAAGAUCAGGGGAACGUGGCAUCUCUGGAUGUGUUUAUAGCCCUUGGUCACAUACAAUGGUUCGGGAUUGAGGAACUCAGCACGCCGCAAGGCCGGGUUUAAACCACGUACGUGCUAGAUGCUA